rnacentral:rRNA from 1 species
AUGUCUCAGCUUAAGCUUUCUUACAACAGUGCUGUGCAUGGCUCAUUAUAACAGCUACAAUUAAGUGGAUGGUUGCUAUACAUGGACAUCUGUGGCAAUUCUGUGGCUAAUACAUGCUCAUUGGCUCAGUCAACAUGGGUUGUGGUCAUUUUUCUCAGAAUCAAUGCAGGUGAUUCCUGCGUGCAACUCCAAGAAGAGUGACAGAAUGGAUUGCGAAGUUUUCACUGGUGCUGUGCCUUGAAAGUUUCUGACCUAUCAGCUGUCGACGGCAGGGUAGUGGCCUGCUGUGGCUGUGACAGGUGACGGAGGAUGAGGGUUUGACUCCGGAGAGGGAGCCUGAGAGAUGGCUACCACAUCUAAGGAAGGCAGCAGGCGCGCAAAUAGCCCAAUCCCAACAGAGGGAGGUAGUGACAAGAAAUAGCAAUGCAAGGCAUCCAUGUUUUGUACUUGGAAUGAAUGGCUGGCAAACUUUGUCUUUAGGAUCAAUUGGAGGGCAAGUCUGGUGCCAGCAGCCGCGGUAAUUCCAGCUCCAAUCGUAUAUAUUGGAGUUGUUGCGGUUAAAAGGCUCGUAGUUGGAUCUCUGCUGGGGAUGCCUGGUCCGCCCU